AUCUUAUAUAGAUGUAGUGACGCAAGACAGUGACGCAUUUCCCUUUAAGAUAGGUUUUAAGACAGAAGCUCUAACAGCAAGUUUUAUUGUGAAGCAAUAGUUGAAAUAAAAUGAGUUAGAGUGGGAUAGGUUAACCGUAAGACCUUAAGUUGGAAAACUUUAAAUUGGAUCUAAGAGUCAAAUUUCUUAAUUUUCGUACUUUUUAGUUACGGUUGC
rnacentral:ncRNA from 1 species